GGCCCGGUAGCUCAGUGGUUAGAGCGUCUGCCUUACAACCAGAAGGACCGGGGUUCGAUUCCCCGACCGGGUGA